rnacentral:rRNA from 1 species
UACGAAGGGUGCUAGCGUUGUUCGGAAUUACUGGGCGUAAAGCGCGCGUAGGCGGCUUAACAAGUCAGGGGUGAAAUCCUGGGGCUCAACCCCAGAAUUGCCUUUGAAACUGUUAGCUUGAGUGUCGGAGGGGAUAGCGGAAUUGCUAAUGUAGAGGUGAAAUUCGUAGAUAUUAGCAGGAACACCGGUGGCGAAGGCGGCUAUCUGGACGACAACUGACGCUGAGGCGCGAAAGCGUGGGGAUCAAACAGGG